CUGAGCGCCUGAUAAGAUUGGGCACAAAAUAUUGAACUGUUAUAUGUGUUACAAUCAAAGGAUCCUUAUCUAGUCGGAUAUAUAUAUAUACAUCUCUGAGUGUCAGAGUAUUAACACACAGGGCAAUGUCAGCCCCGAGACCGAUGUACCCGACAUUGAGCCAUACGAGACCGGGAUGUUGAAGGUGUCUGACAUUCACAUGGUCUACUACGAGCAGUUUGGGAACCCAGAAGGAAAGCCUGUCCUGUUUCUGCUCGAAAACACAACGUGGAACUUGGUGUCAGAUAUUGAAUUACUGCGUCGAAAGCUCGUAAUCGAUCAAUGGGUUGUCUUCGGCGGCAGCUGGGGCUCAACCCUUGGCCUCGUGUACGCCAUACAACACCCUGACCGGGUCAAAGCCCUUAUUCUCAGAGGCAUAUUCAU